rnacentral:rRNA from 1 species
UAGUCCACGCCGUAAACGAUGGACACUAGUUGUUGGAGAUUUUCAGUGACUAAGCGAAAGUGAUAAGUGUCCCACCUGGGGAGUACGAUCGCAAGAUUGAAACUCAAAGGAAUUGACGGGGGCCCGCACAAGCGGUGGAGCAUGUGGUUUAAUUCGAUGAUACGCGAGGAGCCUUACCAGGGCUUAAAUGUAGGAUGCAUUAGUUAGAGAUAGCUAUUUCUUCGGACUUCUUACAAGGUGCUGCAUGGUUGUCGUCAGCUCGUGCCGUGAGGUGUCAGGUUAAGUCCUAUAACGAGCGCAACCCUUGUCGUUAGUUGCCAGCAUUUAAAGAUGGGGACUCUAGCGAGACUGCCGGUGCAAACCGAGAGGAAGGUGGGGAUGACGUCAAAUCAUCACGGCCCUUACGUCCUGGGCUACACACGUGCUACAAUGGUAUAGACAAUGAGCAGCCACUACGCAAGUAGGCGCGAAUCUAUAAACUAUAUCACAGUUCGGAUCGGG